AUCUUUGUGCAGUGGCAGUAUUGUAGCCUAUGAGGUUAAACUGAGGCACAAUUAUUGCUAGUUGAAAACUUUUCCCAAUACCCUGCUCUGAGAGCUUGAAAUAUAGCUUUCGUGAGCAAUUUUUGGGAGCCUCUGCCGAGG
rnacentral:snRNA from 1 species